CUAACCACGUACUCAUCUCUUGGAAGAGGGGAAGAGGAAGCAUACACCUUCCACAACGAGAGCCUCGCAUUCGUUGUCGGCGAUAUUAUUCCCUCUCCACGGAAACUGUUUGCCUGUCUCGUAGUGACUUCUCCCUACCCUCGCUUGCCUGUUGUGUGCACAGCUUUGAGUCAGCGUUCGCCGUGUACAAGGGAGGACGAGGAAGGAGAGAGCGCUUCGGCGGGGAUGUCGGACCGCCUCUGCGCCCCGUGUGACGAACGCACACCAAGGCGCGCACUCACGCACCUUCUGCCUUUCCCCUUCUGUCGUGCUUGCGCCUAGAUUGGGGCUCGCCAUCACAGACUCUCGAAGGGAAAAACAGAAGGCGAGAGGGCGAGAGAGCGACAGGAGGAACGCACCGGCGUUGCCCAUUUUGUUUUGCUUUGCCUCUCUUUCUCUUGCUGGACUCGCAGAGUCGAUAGAAACCUGCCCCGGCGGCGUGUGUGUGUGUGUGCGUGGCGACAUUGAUCAUCACGCCGCCUCAUUUACAUCCCCGCUCGUCUCUUUCUGGUGUGGCGCCUUUAUCGGGUGCCACGGGGGAGCUGAUCGCUCCGAGGACUACUCUUCCCCCUCCCCCUCCGAGAGGAGGGCGAGAGAGAGUGUGCCUGAGAGCUGGAUAGAAGGCUGCACACACAAGAUUGGGGGAGGGGGAUCGGCUAGGGGAAGGGAACAGGUGCCGCACCACAUCUGUUGUCACCGUCUUUUUCCUUGUUUCGCCCUUUGCUGUCACCCGCCGCGUUCCUUCCGUCUUCCUUUUACUCGCGCGCGCUUUGGUGGUCCUUUCCGACGCAGCGCACGAUGGACAUUAGACGUAUUCUGCGCAUCCCCGAUAGCCGGGGAUGUGUACCAGCCGCGCACGGUGAUGCACUCAAAUCCUAUCCUGAUAGCUACGUCAUGUGCGAGUAUCUGAGCUGCUCUUCAGGCAUGAGGCACUCCUCGCGUGAUGAUCAGGCGGCCGUAGUGUCUAAGUUGCAUGUGCUCGCCUCCAAGUACGCUCAGUUUCAGCGCAGCAUCGAAGGCUGCGUCUUCGCCAUGAGCAGCGGCAUCGCUGCUUCUCUGUGGGGGUCCGCACCUGCGGCACGCCAGGCGUCCUCGCGUUCACCCAGCGAAGGACUCGCGCCUUUCAGUGCUGCCGACAAGGGACGAGCGGCAGCUGCGAGCAGGAUGGGGGCCAUCGCCACAUCGGUAUCCACUGGAUCGACCUCACAGGUGCCAGACUUGGAGUCGUGCUGGAUGUCGACCUCUCCGCUUCCCCCGACGGCGGUGCUUGCGGCGCUGUACGGCAUGACGCCUCUACAUAGGAUUUCCUGGAGCGGCAGUGGCGGAGGAGGCCCCGAUGCCGGCGCCGGGGAGAACGUGGGCACUGUGCCGACUGUGGAUGCCAGCAACCUCGGCGAAACUGACUCAUCGACGUCUUCGUUCGAGCUUCAGUGGUCGCUCUGUCGAUGCGCCACGGACGCGAUGGCAGCGCAGGGGCGGUACCAGGUCACUUUCAGGGACGCGUUUGCCAUGACGACGGUGGUUGCCCACAUGGCGGCCGCUAGCGCUGACGGCGGCAGUAGUUGGCAAGGCUCUACCUCGCUUCUGCCGCCGCCGUCGUCGUCAUCGUCAACGUCGUCGUAUUCCCUCGCGCAGCAGCUGCGACGGGCCUCUGCCCUGCUCGGUGUGGACAGUGAAGGGCCGCUGCCAGAAGCGUCGGCGGCCGCGGCACCGUCCACCUCGUUGCUGGAUUGGCCAGAGGAGUUCUUGUGGAACUUGCUGGUGUCGCUGUUAUCCAGUCUCGCGCUUGUGCACAGUGCCGGCCUUCACUUGUUCGGUCAACUGACCGCAGCUGAUGUGCUGUGCGUGGCUUGCGCGCCAACACUGCCGCGGCAGCUCGAACAGACGUGGGCUGAUGUUGCCGCAGCGACGGCAGCGGCGGCCAGCAAAGAGGAUGCGAGGAGGGCAGUGUCCGGCACCGUCUCCAGCAACAUUGAUGAUGAUCGUGUGCCGAUGCACAAGGAGGAGGAUGCCAUCUUCCGGCGCUUCUGCUCGACAGCUGUGCCUAGCGUGUUGCUGCCGCAGGCGACCGUCACCGCCGCCACUCCGUGUCAUCACGUCUUCUUCGUCCUUCAUCCAUCGCCGGAGUUGCUGCAACAGCAGGGCGAUGGCCGCGCACAUGUUCCGCGGCAAAGCGUGCCAAGACUCUCCGCAGCGCAGGAAGCAGAGCAGGCGACACCGGCGCAACAGGCGCAGCACCAGGCGUCGGACUUGGCGAGCGUGGGCCGCUUGAUGAGCCUCUUGAUGGAGCUGCGAGCGCGGGGGCGCCAGAGUCGCAGCGGGCACGCGGAACCAGCAGCAGCAGCCCCUAGCUCAGAGCUGGCGUUUCUGGUUGGGCGGCUGUGCGAAUGUGGUGGGGCGAGCGCGGGCCCUGCAGCGCCAACGCAGUGCCCUACCGCUCUGCAGCUUCUGCAACUCCAGGCGCUGCGGCUGCGCACGGAGUCGUGGUACUACCGCCGCCUGGCCGAGGAAGCGUGCGAUCGCCUGCUGCUUGCGCGGCGGCGGCUGGAAAACACAGAUGCCACACUGCCGCAACCCUCGUCUGCAACGCUGCCGCACGCGAGGGACACGGACACGAAGGGGCAGAGUCGCGAGGCGCAGCUGGCGGACCGCGAGGCGCAGCUGGCGGAGCGAGAGUCCAAGUUAAAUGUCCUGCUGGGGCUCUACGAGCUCACGCAUGAGCACUUGGACGCGCUCAAGCUGCCGCAGCUGCCCCCAGCUCAAGGGGGGACAAAGUUGGCAACGCUUUCGUCAGCGUUACCAUCGGAUGCAGCGGCAGCAGCGGCGGUCGAUGCCUCGGCUACUUCGACGGCGCGCAACGGGAGUACUCGCGGCGCUGACAGCGUUGAGGCAGAGCAGCGAAUGGCGUCGCAGGUGCCACAAGGGGACUCGCUAGACCGCCUGCUAAUUCAAACUCUACUCCAGCAGCAGCACCAGCUAGCAGGUUCCGCGGGCGCACUGCUUGCAGGCGUGCCUGCCGCAUCCGGAGCGACUCCGGCAGGCGUCCGCGAUGGUAGCCAUUUGAGUCCCCCAGCCACCACCACGGCGGCCUCCGUUGCUGCUGCCGACGAGUUGCUCGGCUUGUCUCCUCUUGCGUGUCGCACCACCGCGGAUGACAGACUGCUCUCGAAAAGCGCUGCUACGCCGUCAGUGGUGGCGGAGACACUGCCAGCGCUCACCACGGAUCGCCAUGUGGACGUCGAGAGCGUCCCUGGAGGCGGUGUUGCGACACUCACGGCGGCGGCAUCGACCGGCCAUCACCCCAACAACGAAUCCCGCGUUGCCGUGGUGGAGGUAGACCUGGAUGCAGCAGAGAAUGAUGGGCGUGGCAUCAGCAUGGCAAGCCAAGGGAGCGCAAGUCCGACGGCGAUUCACGCUACACCUGCUGGAGGAUUCGAAACACGCGCGGCGUGGGGGUGGGCGCCAACGACGACGUCCCCGUCUGCGUCGCUCUCGGUUUCAGCUGCCGCUACGCUCCAGCAGGGGGCUCAUGGCUCGCCACUGCCGACCUCCCAGCAGCAACGACAGCAGCGACAACUUUUCUCGCCCCCGCUGCACGCCUCCCCGUGCCAAGACAUGGAGACUCCCAUGCGCUCCCCUGCGCUACCCAACAUGGGCUACGUGGGGGGUGCAGCCGGCGGUGCCGUGGCUUCCCCUGGCGCAGGCUUCAACGGUGGCGGUGGUCGUAGCCACAGCAAGUACAGCGCGCUGUCGCUACUGCGCACGCCUCCGUCGGCCCGCCGCGCUGGCACGGGGCCGGGAGCUGCUGCCGAUGCUGCAGUAGCCACAGAAGCGACCAGGGCCGCGCCUUCCUUCUUCCGUUCUCAAUCGUUGCACUCGCCAGACAGCUAUCGCUCCUCCACUAGACCGCAUAACGCUGCCACGGUCGAUGCCUCGGCCAGCGCCGCUGCUGCGUCUUCUCCACAUGACACGGCGGAACGUUUCCUUCCGCAGCCGCGCCAGCAGCGACGCCGAUCAAGCUCUCGUGGUAACACCAGCAAUAACAGCGGCGGCGCGUACACGGCGACCUUGGGUGGCCGCUCACCACGCACGGAGGACCAUCGCCAGCACAAGGAUGGUGUCGCUGCAUCAUGGGCGCAUCAGCAGUUGACAACGCUGGAGGAGAUGCAGACGGCGCUGAGAGCGCAACAGUCAUCAACGCCGCGUAGUCGUGCGUUAGCCGCGGCGGCGAUCCGCAGCCGCAGUGCAGACAUGGCGGCGCCUCCGCGCAUGCAGUCCCCGGCGACCCCACCGCUUGCGCCGCGCGCUGCACCGCGGCUGUAUUCCUCGUCCACGCUCGCAUCCUCGGAUGUGACACCGGUACGCGGCACAACGCCAUCGUACUACGGUGAUGACUCCGCAGAGAUGUUUCGCGUGGAGAGCGCUCACAUGCGCAGCAGUGACAACCGCAGCGGAGUCCGCCGUGGUGAUGACUGGGGCGGUUCCGUUGGCGCGUCUCGCGACUUUGGUGGCGUCGUCAUUGCUGAACCUCCUCGGGUGCUGUUGUCCUUCACUCCUCCGUACAACACGCCGCCGACGUCGUCGCAUUACAUCUACCAGGCCUCCACAGCGACGACGACGGCCGCUGAAAGUGGUGCGAGCCUCGCCUACGCAGCUACUGGACCCUCAGCAGCACGAGAUGGUGCCGCCGGGCAGCAUACACCACCGCAAAUGCAGAAGCCUACCGCAACGGCGCUGUAUCGGAGUGCACCACAGGAGCCCGCCUCCUCUCUCUCGCCGCAGAUGCUGGCGAAGUUUGUUGGCAGUGAGACCGCCGCAGCCACCAGACGAGGCAACAACAGCCGCAGCGGCGCCCCGAAUGCCUUUCACGCAUCUGCCCCGUCAGCGCGCGGGGCUUCAGCACGUGGCAACGGCGCAGCUAACCUGCACCAGCGCAGCCCGCCACAUCACGCGACCUCGUCUCCCGCCAUAGUGUCUACGGUGAGGGCGGCGGCAUCCGCUUUCGGUGUCUCCGCUGGGAUAUCUGCUCAAGGUACGGGUGGCAGAGGCUCUCACCGCUCUCUUAGCUCACGAACGGCGUCCGCAAACGCCACCGGACACAGCGCAGGUGGCACGGUCGCUCGAGGGACCACAGUGAGCACCUCUAGCGGUCGCGCCAGCGGUGGCCAUGGCGGUGGCGGUGGUGGACCACUGCAGCGGUUUGGCGAUGCCUAUUCUCCGUCACCUUCGUCGGCAUCCUUCGUCCAUGCCGGCGCCUCGCGUACGAGUUCCACGACGGCGGUGGAGCUGCUGCGGCGACUGCGCGCCAACACAGGGGCGUGAUGGGGAGAAGCGUGGGUGGGCCUGCGUGUACGCUGCCGCUGGCACGUACAGCAUACACGUACCUAGCCAAACGGAGGC
rnacentral:misc_RNA from 1 species